UUGUCUCCUACAUUCCAGGGCGCCCCUGGUGGCUCUGCAGCAGCCAUAGUUGUCCUAUGACCUGCAAAUACUGAGAGAUACAUAGGAAGGCUGCCAGGACAGCCAGAAUCC
rnacentral:miRNA from 1 species